UACGAAGGGUGCAAACGUUGCUCGGAAUUAUUGGGCGUAAAGCGCACGUAGGCGGCUAGUAAAAGUUGGAUGUGAAAUCCCUCGGCUUAACCAAGGAAGUGCAUCCAAACUGCCUGAGCUUGAGUACUUAAGAGGAGUCGCGGAAUUCCUGGUGUAGCGGUGAAAUGCGCAGAUAUCGAGGAGGAACACCGGUGGCGAAGGCGGGUCUCUGGGCCGUAACUGACGCUGAAGGAGCGGAAAGCAUGGGGAGCGAACAGG
rnacentral:rRNA from 1 species